AUGAGGGAAACGGAUACUCAAUUUAAAGUGAGUAAACAGAAUUCCAUACUCGAUCUCAUAGAUCCCUAUAUAAUUCUGUGGAAAGCCAUAUUCGAUGAAAGUCAUAUUUAGGGCUUGGAGGGAGAUCUUUCCUAUCUUUCGAGAUCAGUAAAUUUGAAUUGA
rnacentral:rRNA from 1 species